rnacentral:rRNA from 1 species
UUGGUCCUACGGGGCGCAGCAGUGAGGAAUAUUGGUCAAUGGGCGCGAGCCUGAACCAGCCAAGUCGCGUGAGGGAGGACGGCCCUACGGGUUGUAAACCUCUUUUGCCGGGGAGCAACGGGCGUCACGUGUGGCGCCACUGAGAGUACCCGGAGAAAAAGCAUCGGCUAACUCCGUGCCAGCAGCCGCGGUAAUACGGAGGAUCCGAGCGUUAUCCGGAUUUAUUGGGUUUAAAGGGAGCGUAGAUGGGUUGUUAAGUCAGUUGUGAAAGUUUGCGGCUCAACCGUAAAAUUGCAAUUGAUACU